UGGGCUGGUCGUUAGACCCGGGUCCACACCAAGGCGGGUAAGACACCC
rnacentral:ncRNA from 1 species